GACGAACGCUGGCGGCGUGCUUAACACAUGCAAGUCGAACGGCAAGGCACUGCUAUUGUGGUGUGCUCGAGUGGCGAACGGGUGCGUAACACGUGAGUAUCCUGCCCUUCACUUUGGGAUAACUUCAGGAAACUGGGGCUAAUCUAGGAUAGGAGCUCCUGCUGCAUGGUGGGGGUUGGAAAGUUUCGGCGGUUGGGGAUGGACUGGCGGCUUAUCAGCUAGUUGGUGGGGUAGUGGCUUACCCAGGCAUUGACGGGUAGCCGGCCUGAGAGGGUGACCGGCGACAUGGGGACUGAGAGACGGCGCAGACGGCUACGGGAGGCAGAAGGGGGAAAUAUGGCACAAUGGGCGGAAGCGUGAGGCAGCAACGCCGCGUUCGUGAUGACGGCCUGCGGGGUGUAAACCGCUGUCGCCUGUGACGAAGCGUGAGUGACGGUAAUGGGUAAAGAAGCACCGGCUAACUACGUG
rnacentral:rRNA from 1 species